UGACGAGCGGCGGACGGGUGAGUAAUGUAUGGGUACCUGCCCGAUGGAGGGGGAUAACUACUGGAAACGGUGGCUAAUACCGCAUAAUCUCGCAGGAGCAAAGAGGGGGACCUUCGGGCCUUGCGCCAUCAGAUGCUCCCAGAUGGGAUUAGCUAGUAGGUCAGGUAAUGGCUUACCUAGGCGACGAUCCCUAGCUGGUCUGAGAGGAUGAGCAGCCACACUGGGACUGAGACACGGCCCAGACUCCUACGGGAGGCAGGAGUGGGGAAUAUUGCACAGUGGGCGCAAGCCUGUUGCAGCCAUGCCGCGUCUAUGAAGAAGGCCCCUGGGUUGUAAAGUACUUUCAGCGAGGAGGAAGGCGUUAAUGUUAAUACCAUUAACGAUUGACGUUACUCGCAGAAGAAGCACCGGCUAACUCCGUGCCAGCAGCCGCGGUAAUACGGAGGGUGCAAGCGUUAAUCGGAAUGACUGGGCGUAAAGCGCACGCAGGCGGUUAAUUAAGUUGGAUGUGAAAUCCCCGGGCUUAACCUGGGAACGGCAUUCAAAACUGACAGGCUAGAGUCUUGUAGAGGGGGGUAGAAUUCCAGGUGUAGCGGUGAAAUGCGUAGAGAUCUGGAGGAAUACCGGUGGCGAAGGCGGCCCCCUGGACAAAGACUGACGCUCAGGUGCGAAAGCGUGGGGAGCAAACAGGAUUAUAUACCCUGGUAGUCCACGCUGUAAACGAUGUCGAUUUGGAGGUUGUGCCCUAGAGGCGUGGCUUCCGGAGCUAACGCGUUAAAUCGACCGCCUGGGGAGUACGGCCGCAAGGUUAAAACUCAAAUGAAUUGACGGGGGCCCGCACAAGCGGUGGAGCAUGUGGUUUAAUUCGAUGCAACGCGAAGAACCUUACCUACUCUUGACAUCCAGAGAAUUUUCUAGAGAUAGCUGAGUGCCUUCGGGAACUCUGAAACAGGUGCUGCAUGGC
rnacentral:rRNA from 1 species